rnacentral:rRNA from 1 species
GAUGAACGCUGGCGGCGUGCCUAAUACAUGCAAGUCGAGCGAACAGAUGAGGAGCUUGCUCCUCUGACGUUAGCGGCGGACGGGUGAGUAACACGUGGAUAACCUACCUAUAAGACUGGGAUAACUUCGGGAAACCGGAGCUAAUACCGGAUAAUAUAUUGAACCGCAUGGUUCAAUAGUGAAAGACGGUUUUGCUGUCACUUAUAGAUGGAUCCGCGCCGCAUUAGCUAGUUGGUAAGGUAACGGCUUACCAAGGCAACGAUGCGUAGCCGACCUGAGAGGGUGAUCGGCCACACUGGGACUGAGACACGGUCCAGACUCCUACGGGAGGCAGCAGUAGGGAAUCUUCCGCAAUGGGCGAAAGCCUGACGGAGCAACGCCGCGUGAGUGAUGAAGGUCUUCGGAUCGUAAAACUCUGUUAUUAGGGAAGAGCAAAUGUGUAAGUAACUAUGCACGUCUUGACGGUACCUAAUCAGAAAGCCACGGCUAACUACGUG